rnacentral:tRNA from 1 species
UUGGCAGAGCGUAGGUUUCAUAAUCCUAAGGUCCUGGGUUCGAUCCCCAGCG